AACGAACGCUGGCGGCAGGCUUAACACAUGCAAGUCGAGCGCCCCGCAAGGGGAGCGGCAGACGGGUGAGUAACGCGUGGGAAUCUACCCAUCUCUACGGAAUAACGCAUGGAAACGUGUGCUAAUACCGUAUACGUCCUUCGGGAGAAAGAUUUAUCGGAGAUGGAUGAGCCCGCGUUGGAUUAGCUAGUUGGUGGGGUAAAGGCCUACCAAGGCGACGAUCAUAGCUGGUCUGAGAGGAUGAUCAGCCACACUGGGACUGAGACACGGCCCAGACUCCUACGGGAGGCAGCAGUGGGGAAUAUUGGACAAGGGGCGCAAGCCUGAUCCAGCCAUGCCGCGUGAGUGAUGAAGGCCCUAGGGUUGUAAAGCUCUUUCACCGGUGAAGAUAAUGACGGUAACCGGAGAAGAAGCCCCGGCUAACUUCGUGCCAGCAGCCGCCGUAAAAC
rnacentral:rRNA from 1 species